AAGUCGUAACAAGGUUUCCGUAGGUGAACCUGCGGAAGGAUCAUUACCUAGAGUUUGCGGGCUUUGCCUGCUAUCUCUUACCCAUGUCUUUUGAGUACUUACGUUUCCUCGGUGGGUUCGCCCGCCGAUUGGACAAUUUAAACCCUUUGCAGUUGCAAUCAGCGUCUGAAAAAAAUUAAUAAUUACAACUUUCAACAACGGAUCUCUUGGUUCUGGCAUCGAUGAAGAACGCAGCGAAAUGCGAUAAGUAGUGUGAAUUGCAGAAUUCAGUGAAUCAUCGAAUCUUUGAACGCACAUUGCGCCCCUUGGUAUUCCAUGGGGCAUGCCUGUUCGAGCGUCAUUUGUACCUUCAAGCUCUGCUUGGUGUUGGGUGUUUGUCUCGCCUUUGCGUGUAGUCUCGCCUCAAAACAAUUGGCAGCCGGCGUAUUGAUUUCGGAGCGCAGUACAUCUCGCGCUUUGCACUCAUAACGACGACGUCCAAAAGUACAUUUUUACACUCUUGACCUCGGAUCAGGUAGGGAUACCCGCUGAACUUAA
rnacentral:rRNA from 1 species